rnacentral:rRNA from 1 species
GACGAACGCUGGCGGCGUGCUUAACACAUGCAAGUCGAGCGGUGAAGCGCCUUCCUUUUUGGUGGGUGUGGAUGAGUGGCGAACGGGUGAGUAACACGUGAGUAACCUGCCCCCUUCUUCUGGAUAACCGCAUGAAAGUGUGGCUAAUACGGGAUAUUCUGGGUCUGUCGCAUGAUGGGUCUGGGAAAGAUAUUGUUUCGGUGGGGGAUGGGCUCGCGGCCUAUCAGCUUGUUGGUGGGGUGAUGGCCUACCAAGGCGGUGACGGGUAGCCGGCCUGAGAGGGUUGACGGUCACACUGGGAAUGAGACACGGCCAAGACUACUACGGGAGGCAGCAGUGGGGAAUAUUGCACAAUGGGCGCAAGCCUGAUGCAGCGACGCCGCGUGGGGGAUGGAGGCCUUCGGGUUGUGAACCUCUUUCGCCAGUGAAGCAGGCCUGCCUCGUUUGUGGGUGGGUUGACGGUAGCUGGAUAAGAAGCGCCGGCUAACUACGUG